AUUGAACGCUGGCGGCAGGCCUAACACAUGCAAGUCGAACGAAGUCUUCGGACUUAGUGGCGGACGGGUGAGUAACACGUGGGAACGUACCUUUUGGUUCGGAACAACUCAGGGAAACUUGAGCUAAUACCGGAUGAGCCCUUAGGGGGAAAGAUUUAUCGCCGAAAGAGCGGCCCGCGUUAGAUUAGCUAGUUGGUGAGGUAAAGGCUCACCAAGGCUACGAUCUAUAGCUGGUCUGAGAGGAUGAUCAGCCACACUGGGACUGAGACACGGCCCAGACUCCUACGGGAGGCAGCAGUGGGGAAUCUUGCGCAAUGGGCGAAAGCCUGACGCAGCCAUGCCGCGUGAAUGAUGAAGGUCUUAGGAUUGUAAAAUUCUUUUACCAGGGACGAUAAUGACGGUACCUGGAGAAAAAGCCCCGGCUAACUUCGUGCCAGCCGCCGCAGUAAAAC
rnacentral:rRNA from 1 species